rnacentral:rRNA from 1 species
CCUACGGGAGGCAGCAGUGGGGAAUAUUGCACAAUGGGGGAAACCCUGAUGCAGCGACGCCGCGUGAAGGAUGAAGUAUUUCGGUAUGUAAACUUCUAUCAGCAGGGAAGAAAAUGACGGUACCUGACUAAGAAGCCCCGGCUAACUACGUGCCAGCAGCCGCGGUGAUACGUAGGGGGCAAGCGUUAUCCGGAUUUACUGGGUGUAAAGGGAGCGUAGACGGCAUGGCAAGUCUGAUGUGAAAACCCGGGGCUCAACCGCAGAACUGCAUUUGAAACUGUUGAUCUUGAGUACUGGAGAGGCAGACGGAAUUCCUAGUGUAGCGGUGAAAUGCGUAGAUAGUAGGAGGAACACCAGUGGCGAAGGCGGUCUGCUGGACAGCAACUGACGGUGAGGCGCGAAAGCGUGGGGAGCAAACAGGAUUAGAUACCCGUGUAGUC